AGAGGUUGUGAGUCUAUUUGCGGGACAAACACGAGUUAUCAAUGGAGGCUCUUGACUUGAUGAUUGAUUUGUGGCCACUGUUGCAAAAAAUUCCAAAGACUAGGACUGGCUCCAGUCCAUCCCUUCUGGGAUCUUGCAAAAGUUGGACUCACACCAAGAUAGCAUUACUGGGCCCCUGCUGAUUGCAUUCCCCAAGGCAGGGAACCAUGUCAGGGGAUGGAGCUGAACUUGGGCAUCUAAGCAGUUGGACCUUCAGGACAAGUUUCGAAGGUGUCCUACCAAGGAUGAGGAUUUUUUUUCCAGAAAAUUUUCCGAGGCUUGAAAAUCUGCAAUCCAAAUGGUAAGUUUCUAGAGCCUUUAUAGAAAUCCUUUUGGAACAAUAAAGUUUGUAAAAUGUUGGCUGGGGGUGCCACCCACAUAAGCCUUGCUGGUUGCUCAUAUAUCUGUACCAUGUGGAAGUAUUAUAUUCCAUUCUGACUAUCGGAUAUCUUGUCAAUGGCCUGGAUUGCCCCCACAUGUCAAAUUUAAGCCUAAAAUUCAAUCAUUUACUCUACGUACCCUCCCAUGUAUGUCCAUGCAUGAUGCAACUCCUCAGUGGUCCAUGCACCCUUUUGGUAGUUCCAGAUAUUCCACUGCCUAGUUUUGCCACUUGGCUAACUCCAUUUUGGCUCAAACUUGACAUAUGAGCAGGGGGCAUUGGGGUUUAUCUCUCCACCAAAUUUCAGCCCAAUCUGACAUGCCACGUGGUAGGAAUAGGUGAGCCACCCAGCCAACAUUUUCCAGUUAGGAUGUCAUACCCUAAUAUUCUGUUGAUUGAACUGUGUCUAUGAGCCCAAAUUCUAGCACACGAAAGUCGAAGUAUAUACUUUAUUCGGUACAAACUCUUUUUUUUUUUGAGGAUCCGCUGUGAUAAUGAGAAAUAUUUUUGCACCAUACCUUUCCAAUUUUCAUUGGUUGUCUUUUCAAAUUUCCAUAUAUAUUUCAUACUUCAAACAAAAGAAAACUCUGACCCUGUUUCAGUUCUUAGAAUCUUGCUCUCGAGGCAUU